rnacentral:tRNA from 1 species
UAUAUCUUGGUGUAUGACGCACAAAAAUUUUUGAUGUUUUGGGAGUAGUUUAAUUCUACGAGAUAUAA